rnacentral:rRNA from 1 species
CCUCGGAUCAGGUAGGGAUACCCGCUGAACUUAAGCAUAUCAGUAAGCGGAGGAAAA